rnacentral:tRNA from 1 species
GCCCGCCUAGCUCAAUCGGAUAGAGCGUCAGACUUUUACGAAUAGUCUGGUUAACGGGCUGUAGUAAUCAAUCUGAAGGCUGCGAGUUCGACCCUCGCGGUGGGCU